AAAUCAGUUAUCGUUUAUUUGAUAGUACCUUUACUACUUGGAUAACCGUGGUAAUUCUAGAGCUAAUACAUGCUAAAAAUCCCGACUGUUUGGAAGGGAUGUAUUUAUUAGAUAAAAAAUCAAUGCUCUUUGAGCUCUUUGAUGAUUCAUAAUAACUUUUCGAAUCGCAUGGCCUUGUGCUGGCGAUGGUUCAUUCAAAUUUCUGCCCUAUCAACUUUCGAUGGUAGGAUAGUGGCCUACCAUGGUUUCAACGGGUAACGGGGAAUAAGGGUUCGAUUCCGGAGAGGGAGCCUGAGAAACGGCUACCACAUCCAAGGAAGGCAGCAGGCGCGCAAAUUACCCAAUCCCGACACGGGGAGGUAGUGACAAUACAUAACGAUACAGGGCCCUUUCGGGUCUUGUAAUUGGAGUGAGUACAAUGUAAAUACCUUAACGAGGAACAAUUGGAGGGCAAGUCUGGUGCCAGCAGCCGCGGUAAUUCCAGCUCCAAUAGCGUAUAUUAAAGUUGUUGCAGUUAAAAAGCUCG
rnacentral:rRNA from 1 species